AUUUCUGCUACAGCUUGUUUUCCAACUUCACCAUUCUUUUUCAAGUAUUCAUCGUAGUAUGGUUGUAACGCCGCUUUAAACGGAGCAAGAUCAGGUUUUGUUACGGUUACGCCUUUU
rfam:Avibacterium paragallinarum strain CL AvpgCL_contig_30, whole genome shotgun sequence.